rnacentral:rRNA from 1 species
GACGAACGCUGGCGGCGUGCUUAACACAUGCAAGUCGAACGGUGAAAGAAGAGCUUGCUCUUCUGGAUCAGUGGCGAACGGGUGAGUAACACGUGAGUAACCUGCCCCAGACUCUGGAAUAAGCUCUGGAAACUGCGUCUAAUACCGGAUACGAGCCAGAGCUGCAUGGCUACUGUCUGGAAAGUUUUUCGGUCUGGGAUGGACUCGCGGCCUAUCAGCUUGUUGGUGAGGUAACGGCUCACCAAGGCAACGACGGGUAGCCGGCCUGAGAGGGCGACCGGCCACACUGGGACUGAGACACGGCCCAGACUCCUACGGGAGGCAGCAGUGGGGAAUAUUGCACAAUGGGCGAAAGCCUGAUGCAGCGACGCCGCGUGAGGGAUGACGGCCUUCGGGUUGUAAACCUCUUUCAGCAGGGAAGAAGCGAAAGUGACGGUACCUGCAGAAGAAGCACCGGCUAACUACGUG